UGUACAGUCUUCAAAAUCCAGGAUUUUUGUAUGACGUCUGACUUAAAUCUGUUUUACAGGUAUGAAUGUUAGGUCUGGCUUAAAUCUCUAUUUUAUGGGUAUAAAUGUUAGAUCUGGCUUAAAGUGACAAUCUCGAAGAUUUCAGUUUCGUUCUCUAUGGCGGUGCCAAUGGCGAGAAGCGGUAAUUGCAGGUGUGUUUUUGGACCUCACUUUCCAUAGAUCCAACCGGAUCCAACCAGUGUCGCCUGUGUGACGUCAGUCAGGACGUUUACCCUACUAUUUACUGAAUAAAAAACGGUUGUUAUAAAAGUAA